rnacentral:tRNA from 1 species
CCUUCGAUAGCUCAGUUGGUAGAGGGGAGGACUAUAGGCCUAAAAUAUAGGCAUCCUUAGGUCACCUGUUCAAUUCCGGCUUGAAGGC